UUCGGGGACUCACGAAGGCUAUUUGGGAAGAUCUCGGUGAUAGAUUCGGACAAUCAAACAGAGCAAAAUUGUAUCAUCUUCAAAAGGAAUUUUCAGACCUAACUCUGGGAUCUGAUGAUCUGCCCACCUAUUUCACCAAAUUGAAGAAACAAUGGGCCGAAUUAAACGCCCUAUCCUUGAUUCCAAGUUGUACUUAUGGUGCUGCACACGCAAUUCAAGAAAGUCAGCAAAAUCAAAGGUUGAUUAAGUUUCUCAUGGGAUUGAAUGUCGAUUAUGGAUCAACCAGAGGAAGGUUCUGAUGGAACCUCAUCCUUCUGUUGCUCAAGCUUAUGCUCUUCUGAUUCAGGAUGAAAAACAACGAGUAGUACACUCUUGAUCUCACUUCUUAUCAUAAUUCGCAUUAAUGACUGCCAAAUCUGGAGUUAAUCAUUACAAGAACAAAAGAGGGAAAAGUAAUUCUUUGAUUAUGAAAAAGUUAAGUUACAGUAUAGAAAAAAGAGAAUUUAUAUACAAAGGGUAAGAAGGGUAAAAGGAGAAAAUUAACUAAACCAACUCUAUCAACCACCAUUAAGAUUGCGCAUGAAUACGCCAACAAAACUUAAACUGGAAACUAGAAGUCGCCAGAGGAAAACCAUGUUCGCUGGAGAAUAUGAGGGUUACUGGAAGAACAUCGACGCCGCCUCUUACUGAAAAAACCAGGUUCCCGGAUCUUCAGCUCUCUCUCUCUCUCUCUCUCUCUCUCUCUCUCUCCUCCUCUCUCUCUCUCUCUCUCUCUCUCUCUCUCUCUCUCUCUCUCUCUCUCUCCUCUCUCGAUGGAUGGGCUAAAUUAGGGCCGGUCCAGACGGUAGACAACCCGGGCGACCGCCGAGGACCCACAACUCCAUGGAGCCCAAAAUUUAUGGGAUAUAUAUAUAUAUAUAUAUAUAUAUAUAUAUAUAUAUAUAUAUAUAUAUAUAUAUAUAUAUAUAUAUAUAUAUAUAUAUAUAUAUAUAUAUAUAUAUAUAUUAUUACCUAAAUGAUUUUUAGAACUUAAAGUUGGUUGAAACUCAAUUUAGCUCAAAAUAUAAACAAUUUAGUUUGCUUUUUAUUUCUAAUUGAAAACGUCUAUAUCGAAGAGUAAUGAUAUUUUUUUUGAAUCUAUUAUAUUUAUAUUUGAGGACCUUUUUUCUCUUUUCUCCCCGGGUCCCAUAUAUGUUUGGACCGACCCUGGGCUAAACCAGGGUAUAAUGGCCAUCUACAAAUUUAGGUUUCUUGUUUAUUCGAGUUUCAAAUCAAAUUGUUGAACGAGGACACAAAAAUACGAGGGAAAAUAAUUCAAUCUUACUUUCCCCUCUGUAAAGAAAAAUCAUCAUCAGAAACCAACUACCGCCUCCGACAUGCCAUACUUCCACCUCCAUUCUAUGAUCUACAUAUUAAAAGCUCAAUAAGGAGACCCAGGCGACAAAGAGUGAUGUUCAAAGUAGAUUUUGAAUCCAGAAGCCUUAUAUUUUCUUGGUUUAUGUUUGAAUUUGCUCAAAGAAAAAGAAAUUUCAUUGGGUUACACUUGAAUUUGCUUAAUUUUUGGUGGUUUUAGUUCAUUGGGGCUUUUCUGGGUUGUAGUGUUGAUUUAAAAGUGUGUUUGCCAAUAAGGUUAAAAACCCUGUCUUAUAAGUCAUAUUUAGGUCUUAUUGAUGUUGCAUGUUUAUUGACUGAGUUUUUCCGAUCAUAUUAGUGGUUUGGGGAAGAAUAGAUAUGUGGGUUUAAGGGAAGAGUGUGUGGUGCUGGUUGUAACACUUGUAUGAAAGACCCCAGGGGUAUCUCGUGACAUUUAUAUGAAAAACCAUGGGGUAGCUCAUAACACUUGUAUGAAAGACCAUGGGGGUAGCCCAUGAUGCUUGUAUAUAAGGCCAUAUGGGGUAGCUAAGAUAAUGCGAGGAAAAACCAUGGGGGUAGUCUAUGGCAAUGGUAUGAAAGACCAAAGGGGUAGCCCAUAACGCUUGUAUGCAAGACCAUGAAGGUACUUCCAGUUCCAAAGGAAAAAACGUACUUUUUUUUGUUAGGACACAAUUGUCCAAAGUUUCAUUCAGCCCAUAAAGACAUGGUUUUGGGGCUUUGUGACAUCUUACCGGGAAAUACCCAUUUUUCUUCAAAUCAAACAGUCUUUUUAGCCAAUUCAACCAGAAAGAUAUGUUUGGACCUGGAAAGAUGUAUAUCAAACGAGACCUUAGUCUUUUAUCUUGUUUAGGAACCAAAACCGAAACAAAUUUCAAUCAUAGGGAUCGUCCGAGUUAAAAAAAAAAGUAUUAGGGACCAAGCACGCAGAUUACCCCAAACCAUAGGGACAAUUGAUUUAAUUUACCCCAAAAAUUAUUAUAUUUUGCUAAUUUUUACGGUUUAAUCGUAAUAUUUUACAUAAGUUAAUUAUGACCCUUAUUUCAAGUUUAGCGGGGGUUAAGAAUGGUAUGACUUCUUAUUUAUUUACAUGGCAUCAUAUUUAUAUCCUAAAAUAACAUCUAACUUUCUAAAAUGACUUUUAGUUAUCUACAUGGUAUGUGUAUAAUUUACUAAAACAACAAAUAAGAAAGCAUUUUUAGGAAGUUAGAUGUUAUUUAAUGAAGUACAUAUGAUGUUAUGUAGGUAAAUGAGAAAAGAGAAAUCAAAUAUCUUCCUACCUUUUGUUUAUAAUCUAUCUUUCUACUCAUUAGAUCAAUGACAAGUAUCAAAAUUAAGAGAGGAGGUUAAAAGAAAGAAUUAAUGAAUUUCACAUGUUAUUAUUUUAUAUGAGUAGAAAGAUAAGUACGAACAAAAGAUAGAAGGAUAUUUAUUUUUUCACCAUGUCAAUUUCAACACAUGUUAAACCCAAACUAGAAAUAUGAAAUCA